AGUGAACGCUGGCGGUAGGCCUAACACAUGCAAGUCGAACGGCAGCACAGGAGAGCUUGCUCUCUGGGUGGCGAGUGGCGGACGGGUGAGGAAUACAUCGGAAUCUACUUUUUCGUGGGGGAUAACGUAGGGAAACUUACGCUAAUACCGCAUACGACCUACGGGUGAAAGCAGGGGACCUUCGGGCCUUGCGCGAUUGAAUGAGCCGAUGUCGGAUUAGCUAGUUGGCGGGGUAAAGGCCCACCAAGGCGACGAUCCGUAGCUGGUCUGAGAGGAUGAUCAGCCACACUGGAACUGAGACACGGUCCAGACUCCUACGGGAGGCAGCAGUGGGGAAUAUUGGACAAUGGGCGCAAGCCUGAUCCAGCCAUACCGCGUGGGUGAAGAAGGCCUUCGGGUUGUAAAGCCCUUUCGGUAGGGACGAAAGCUCUCGACCUAAUACGUCGGGAGGUUGACUUAACCUACAGAAGAAGCACCGGCUAACUCUGUGCCAGCCGCCGCCGUAA
rnacentral:rRNA from 1 species